CUACAUCCAACCGUUCACUCCUAAUGAACAAGAAAGGAAAUCGGAACAAGAGUAGAUACUGCCUGGCCUGCUGUGCUCCUCCAGCAUUUUGUGUGUGUUGCUCGGAUUUCCAGCAUCUGCAGAUUUUCUCUUGUUUGUGAUGUGUAGAUCUUAGAUUGGACAGUGCAAAGCCUUGUCUGUGAUCGUAAUGCCAAUCGUAGAUUGUCUUCCCAGCACUUGAAUGUUCCAGCAUCUGCAAAUGCCAUUCAUCUUCACACAUCCAGCCAUGCUGUUCCAGUACAGUUAC